CCGUGCAGCAGCGCGGUAAUACGGAGUGGCAAGCGUAUCGGAUAUUGGCGUAAGCGUCGCAGCGCCCAGAAGUCUGCUGUAAAACGUGGAGCUUAACUCAUCAUGGCAGUGGAAACUACUGGGCUUGAGUGUGGUAGGGGCAGAGGGAAUUCCCGGUGUAGCGGUGAAAUGCGUAGAUAUCGGGAAGAACACCAGUGGCGAAGGCGCUCUGCUGGGCCAUCACUGACGCUCAUGGACGAAAGCCAGGGGAGCGAAAGGGAUUAGAUACCCCUGUAGUCCUGGCCGUAAACGAUGAACACUAGGUGUCGGGGGAAUCGACCCCCUCGGUGUCGUAGCCAACGCGUUAAGUGUUCCGCCUGGGGAGUACGCACGCAAGUGUGAAACUCAAAGGAAUUGACGGGGGCCCGCACAAGCGGUGGAGUAUGUGGUUUAAUUCGAUGCAACGCGAAGAACCUUACCAGGGUUUGACAUCCUGCGAACCUCUUGGAAACGAGAGGGUGCCUUCGGGAACGCAGUGACAGGUGGUGCAUGGCUGUCGUCAGCUCGUGUCGUGAGAUGUUGGGUUAAGUCCCGCAACGAGCGCAACCCACGUCUUUAGUUGCCAGCAUUUAGUUGGGCACUCUAGAGAGACCGCCGGCGAUAAACCGGAGGAAGGUGUGGAUGACGUCAAGUCAUCAUGCCCCUUACAUCCUGGGCUACACACGUACUACAAUGCUACGGACAAAGGGCAGCAAGUUCGCGAGGACAAGCAAAUCCCAUAAACCGUGGCUCAGUUCAGAUCGUAGGCUGCAACUCGCCUACGUGAAGGAGGAAUCGCUAGUAAUCGCAGGUCAGCAUACUGCGGUGAAUACGUUCCCGGGCCUUGUACACACCGCCCGUCACACCAUGGAAGUUGGCCACGCCCGAAGCCGUUACUCCAACCCUUGUGGAGGAGGACG
rnacentral:rRNA from 1 species